UACGACGGUCAUUGCAGCAUUGCUACGGCAACAAAUAUAAUUAAUUUUGCAUAGUACUACACUGAUUGUUGCAUAACGUGGUAAUUUCCACAUUCCAUUCCCUCCUGUAACGAAAUACUGACUACAGAUGAUGUCCUUUCCAGGAUAUUCCUUGAUAUGUAUCUAUUUUUUUGUCUUUCCUUACCGCAGGUGAUCCCAUUAAUUGGAGAAUACUUGCUCUUUAUUAUGAUCUUUGUCACCUUCUCCAUUAUUGUAACCGUUUUCGUCAUUAAUGUCCAUCACCGCUCCUCUGCAACUUACCACCCCAUGGCACCCUGGGUGAAGACCCUUUUCCUUCAGAGACUCCCCAGGCUGCUGUGUAUGCGGGGGCACACGGACAGAUACCACUCCUCGGAUAUUGCCAUAAGCAGCCAUGAGCUGAAGCCUUGCAAGGGUAUCGGAAAAAAACGGGCUCCCGGACAGCAGAGAAGGCCCCUGGGAGGGAAGGAGGAGGAGAAUCAAGCCUGGCUUUCAAUGCUGGAGAAAGCCACGCAUUCUGUCCGCUACAUCAGUCAUCACAUCAGAAAAGAGCACUUCAGCCGUGAGGUCUGUGGCUUUGAGGGAUACUUUUGGAUGCAAUGAGGCAUAGUUGUACAAGACUGGAAGUUUGUGGCUCAGGUGUUGGAUAGGAUUUUCCUGUGGGCCUUCCUCACUGUGUCAAUAUUAGGAACUGUCCUCAUCUUCACACCAGCCUUGCAGAUGUACCUCAGCUCAUCAUAAUGAACAUAUACGCACUUUUCUUCUGGAAUUCCUGUUUUUCAGAGUGCAGUUAGAAUAAAAUUUACAUUCAUUUUUUGUUUUGUUUAAGUAAGUUCUACCCCCAAACUUGAAACCCCCAUUUAUUAAUUAGCAUGCACAAAAUAAUGAGGACAAAUAGCAAGCGGCAGGUAAGAGUUGCAUGAAUCGUUUUAAACAGCAAUUUACAUACAGUGUAUAAAUGUCACCGAUGCAAUACUUAAAACCGUAGAACCAAUACCAUUCACCAAUAUAUUGAUUUGCAUCCAACAGAGCCUGCUUGGCAAGGCGCUCACUACUCUGUAAUUGUAAUAAUGUUUUUAAUAAAAAGGUGUAAUUGUCAAUACUGAAAAUAUUCAUUAAAUUGAGAGUUGAUAACUU